AAAGCAACAAGCAUUAUUAUUAAGUAGUGCAUUGCUUAUUAGUGAUAAUAAUGGGGAGUUUGGGUCUAGUAUAAAUAAAAAUUUUACAAAGACUCCAAGUAAAGAUCACCUAAUAUUCGUUUAGAAGAUGUUUCUACUUCUAGUGGAAUUUCACUCGAAGUCUAUAAGAAGGUUAUUGCGACCUACCGAUUUUUUCUGUCGGUAGGC